UACGUAGAGGGCAAGCGUUGUCCGGAAUCAUUGGGCGUAAAGAGCUCGUAGGCGGUGUGUCGCGUCGGUCGUGAAAACUUGGGGCUUAACCCUGAGCUUGCGGUCGAUACGGGCAUCACUGGAGUUCGGCAGGGGAGACUGGAAUUCCUGGUGUAGCGGUGAAAUGCGCAGAUAUCAGGAGGAACACCGGUGGCGAAGGCGGGUCUCUGGGCCGAUACUGACGCUGAGGAGCGAAAGCGUGGGGAGCGAACAGG
rnacentral:rRNA from 1 species